ensembl:misc_RNA Metazoa_SRP Metazoan signal recognition particle RNA
GCCGAGCAUGGUGCAUGUGCCUGUAGUCCCAACUACUCGGGAGGCUGAGUUGGGAAAAUCUCUUGAGCCCAGGAGUUCUGGGCUGUAGUGCACCAUGCUGAUCGGGUGUUCGCACUAAGUUCAGCAUCAACAUGGUGACCUCCAAGGAGCAGGGGAGCACCAGGUUGCCUAAGGAGGAGUGAACCAGCCCAGCUCAGAAACAAAGCAGGUCAAAACUCCCAUGCUGAUUGGUAAUGGGAUCGUGCCUGUGAAUAGCCACUGCACUCCAGCCUGGGCAACAUAGCAAGAUCCUAUCUCUU